GACGAACGCUGGCGGCGUGCUUAACACAUGCAAGUCGAACGGAAAGGCCCUGCUUUUGUGGGGUGCUCGAGUGGCGAACGGGUGAGUAACACGUGAGUAACCUGCCCUUGACUUUGGGAUAACUUCAGGAAACUGGGGCUAAUACCGGAUAGGAGCUCCUGCUGCAUGGUGGGGGUUGGAAAGUUUCGGCGGUUGGGGAUGGACUCGCGGCUUAUCAGCUUGUUGGUGGGGUAGUGGCUUACCAAGGCUUUGACGGGUAGCCGGCCUGAGAGGGUGACCGGCCACAUUGGGACUGAGAUACGGACCAGAGUCCUACGGGAGGCAGCAGUGGGGAAUAUUGCACAAUGGGCGGAAGCCUGAUGCAGCAACGCCGCGUGCGGGAUGACGGCUUUCGGGUUGUAAACCGCUUUCGCCUGUGACGAAGCGUGAGUGACGGUAAUGGGUAAAGAAGCACCGGCUAACUACGUG
rnacentral:rRNA from 1 species